rnacentral:rRNA from 1 species
UACGUAGGGUGCGAGCGUUAAUCGGAAUUACUGGGCGUAAAGUGUGCGCAGGUGGCCGCGCAAGUCGAGUGUGAAAUCCCCGGGCUCAACCCGGGAACUGCGUCCGAUACUGGCAGGCUUGAAUCCGGGAGAGGGAUGCGGAAUUCCAGGUGUAGCGGUGAAAUGCGUAGAUAUCUGGAGGAACACCGGUGGCGAAGGCGGCAUCCUGGACCGGCAUUGACGCUGAGGCGCGAAAGCCAGGGGAGCAAACGGG